rnacentral:sRNA from 1 species
UAAUAAGGUUGAACGGCUAAAGGCGCGCCGUCCUGGCGGCAGACUCAAAGCACGACGUCCUGUCGUUUCGCCUGCACAUAGUACGUCCUGUACGUCGCAACGCCGUUCUGACCAACAUCCUGUUGG